UACGUAGGGGGCUAGCGUUGUCCGGAUUUACUGGGCGUAAAGCGCGUGUAGGCGGCCAUCUAAGUCGGGCGUGAAAUCCCACGGCUCAACCGUGGAAGUGCACUCGAAACUGGAUGGCUAGAGUCCUGGAGAGGAAGGUGGAAUGCUUGGUGUAGAGGUGAAAUUCGUAGAUAUCAAGCGGAACACCGGUGGCGAAGGCGGCCUUCUGGACAGUGACUGACGCUGAGACGCGAAAGCGUGGGGAGCAAACAGG
rnacentral:rRNA from 1 species